rnacentral:misc_RNA from 1 species
GUAUUGUAUUGCGUUAGACGCGGCAUACAUUCCAUAAGACUUUGUUACAGCGUGUGUGUAAAGACGCAGAACCACGGCAGGAAGACGGGGUCCCCCAGACCAUAGAACUACGGAGGGUGCACAGGUGUGAGUGGAUGUGUAAACAGAGCGUGCACAUGUCCCCGUUUGAGGACCAGCAACAACCCGUUUGACAAUUCGGUAAUGAUCCUUCCGCAGGUUCACCUACGGAAA